CAGCAUAAGCAAGACCAGAUCCGACCCAGUACGGGGCAAUCCUGGCUGGAGUUACAUACAGACAGGACCUGGAGAACCUCAACCGGCGCCCGUAACUACGCAGUAUUUAAAUACGCUAACCCACAACUUGGAAUUAACAAUUAAGGCCCAAGGUUCCGAUGUAGCUAGAUGGAGGGAUAAGUAAUAGGAUAAUAAAUGCAACUUAAACACUGCAAAACGGCGAGCCAGUGGGCGCAAAGCCUGGGGGGAGGAAAAAGAAAAGAAGAAAAAAUGGAAAAAGAAGCCGAAGGAAAAUGGAAAAAUGGAAUGCCCCAAAAAGGAGAGAAAAAGAAAAGGAGAAAGAAAAAGCAAAGAAAAGA
rnacentral:sRNA from 1 species